rnacentral:rRNA from 1 species
AUGUCCCAUUAUCCUUUCGAUCGUAGUUUUCACCCUGGGAUGAGCAGGACUCUUCUGAGGCUAGCUACCGAUUUCAGGAUGGAUAAUAGGAUAGUUCCAUGGGACGAACUCACCGGUAGUGACACCAUAAUGAAUGAGUUGGCUCACCAAUUACGUAGGUCUGGGUGGCCUGAAAGGACCUAUGAGGAGGUACGUAAAGAACUUAGGUUGCAUGACAGGUGGAAGACGGUAGUGGUGCCGAAGAGUGAAACUUUCAGAAGGAUUGCAGCAAAUAAUCCAUGUUUAUGGACUGAGGAGAGCGAGGACGAAGAUGAUAUCUUCAUGCCGCCGCUUCCGGUUUCUGCAUCGUCGAAGGGCAAGAGUUCUUCAUCAUCGAAGGGCAAGGUUUCUGCAUCGUCGAAGGGCAAGAGUUCUUCAUCGUCGAAGGGCAAGAGUUCUGCAUCGAUCGAGGAUGACGAUGAUGACUUCAUGUAG